GUCUAUGGAAAGAGCGUUUUUUUUUCUUGGUGUUAUUUGCUGUUGUUUUUUGAAGCUUCAUUUGCCUAGUCCACCUAUUAAUCCCUGUUUCUCUCCCAAAAUGGCAUAAAGUGGCUUUGUUUGUCGCUUUUUAUAUUACCCCUAAUCUGUGGAACCUGUAUUGAGCGGUCAACCUAGAUGAAGCGGCCAUUCCCCGUGGAUGACAGCUAAAUACAGAUUAAAGUGUAGUCUCUUUUCCAAGCGCCCGCCCUAACUACGAUUACAUUAGAGAGCUUAAGCUCCAGACGUUCCUGAGGUCACGAACGCUUACCGGAAGUCAUUAGAGGAACUAUGUACAUACUACGCAUAUCAUGACGUUCGCGUGGUCACGUCGCAGACGCCAGAACGCCACUUUUCAGGUUGAAGAAAUGUUCGCGUAUGGGCAACCCUGGCCAAAAUCCAACUGAUGGUGCAUGCUUUGAGUGGAAGAAGAUUUAAUUGCAAAUUUGUGGAGUGGUUUCUUCCACAAUACUCAAGAGGUCCAGGCACCAAAAAUAUGUCUCAGCUUGUCUUCACUGCUGCAGAAUUUCUUAUUGACCUAUUUUUUUUAAGUUUGGGCCACCCUUGGGUAAAGUUGCCUAAAGGAAGAAGAAAGUAUCAGAUACUUGGCGGGAGAUGGCACUGAGAAGACAAAGACGGUGAUAAAGGGAGCAACGAAGACGAUGACAAGGAUGCCAUCGAUGGACCUGAGGAUGAUGAAGAUUUGGGCGACGAUGACGAAGAGAUGGACGACAAAUCCUACCUGGCGCAAGUUGCAAACAUUCAAAAACAAGCCUGCCAGCGAUUCGCAAAUUUGCAGCAUAAAGAAGUCCACAUCCUCAACACAUUUGAAAAGAUUAAGUGGAUUAGUCUCGUUGCAUUUUUUUGGGAGUAACUGCAGAAUACCCUGCCACUAAUUUACAUGUCAUUGAAUAACAAUAGCCUCUGGUAAGUUCUCAAUAAUAUUACUGUCACAUCGGAGAAGACGCAACUGAAUCCCACUCUACACACUGUAUCAUUUGCCACAGUCAUUCAAAGCACGUGCUCGUUGAGGCAGUAUGCACGGAAAGUUCAGAGAUCAUUUAAAAAUUAAACAAGACUUACCUGUAAGUUGAAGUUUGAUUGUAAUUCUACCGAUCCAUAUAGUCAUAAGGGGAUUACGUGAGAUUGCACCGUUUACCAGCCCAGCUCAAAUUUUAACGUCGAAUGGUCACAUAAGUAUUAGGGUCGGGUUCUGACCACUUUGUGUAAAUAGACAAGGCAUGACAAGGGAGGGCACGUAAUCCCCUUAUGACUAUAUGGAUCGUUAGAAUUACAAUCAAACUUCAACUUACAGGUAAGUCUCGUUUAAUUUUUAAAUUCUACCUCACCAUGACGUCAGUCGGGGAUCACGUGAGAUUUUAAAGCAAUUUGACCAGUAGACGAACUCCAAAGAACUGAUUACAAAGAUGUAUAAAUCAGAAACAUGUAAUAAAAGGGAAUUGAGA